UCCCCUCCCCUCUCUCUCCUCACCCAGUGGUGGCGACAGGCGAGAAGGUGGCUCCGGCGCCGGCGAUGAGGCCCGGGCCGGUGAAGAGGGCAGCGCCGCCGAGCUCCGCUCGCCGGAUCUGCGUGCCAUAGACACGGGUGCGCAGCUCCGUCGAGCGCUGCUCGGUGGUGCCGUAAGGCCCCGUCCCUCGCGCGCGGUCCACGGGUUCCGCGGCGGCGACGGCGAGCACGGCACGGUGGCAACAGCACGUGCUAGAGGAGGCGCCAAGCCAGCGCGGCGGGCUGCGAGGCCGCUCAGGGACCAAGUCCUCGAGCGUGCGCUCACCUUAUGCGUCACCCAUGGCGACACGGUGGUCGGUGCCGUCCCCCGUGCUCCUCAGGUUGGCCUGUCUUCGUGGAUCAUGAAUAUGAAACUUCGUUGGGAGGGAGAACACCAGUUGCUGCAGUAUUUGACGUUUCCAGUUUUGGGAUUCAGAAACUAUGUUGACUUGUCUUUUUGCCUUUGUGGGUCAUGACUAUGAACCUUUGUCAUUAGUUAGAAGAAUGUAGCUCAGGCAAACAACUGUUACUAGAUGAUAACAGUUUGUGGUUAAGGGAGUUCUUGGUGCAGCCCCUUGAUCCGUAUAACAGAGAAUGUUCAGAGGAUAGUCACCUUAACUGUACUUUGAUUUGUUCUAUAACAAAUUACACACUCUAACUCCCUGAGUUUAGAACUGGACAUCUCAAGCAUAAAGUCAGGUACACAUUAAGCUUUACUUUUGUUUCAUGCAUUGCCUGAGUCCGAAACAAGACACUCUUAAAGCUAUACCUUUUGUUUUCAUAGAUAUGUUAUACACUUUAAGCUUUACCCCUUUUUUGUAAGAACUAAGCUUUACCUGUUUGUCUCCAUACAUACACUAAGUCCCAAGGCAAUCUUUAUGGGCCAAUUGUUCGAAUUUCAUGUUUACCAAAUAUAUACAAGUAAAAUGUUCAAGUCAACUCCAAAGAAGCAUACAUACAAAUUGUUUCCGUCGUCGUCGUGCUUAAACUGUUUUUUUCAAUAGAGUUUAUUGUUAAGAAGUGUGGCGGAAAGCAUUCAGUGAACCUUGCACAAAAAUUUGAUAUGGAUACCAGCAAUUUUGUACAUUUGUAAUUCAAGGCUACUAAUUCUGCAUAUCUGACAUUCUCUCUGUCUUCACAGCCCAAGGGUAGCAUUUUGUGGAUAUAGCAUCCCUCAUCCUGCUGACAGGAAAAUCAACAUUAGAGUUCAUACUACAGGAGAUCCAGCAAAGGAUGUACUGAAAGAUGCUUUGCAGGAUCUGAUGGUUAUGUGCCAGCAUGUCAGAGGGACUUUUGACAAUGCAGUGGCCAACCACAGAGCAAAGAAACCUGCAGAACAAAUGGUCAUUGAUCAGAAAUAGAAACAUUGAAGCUUCUGAGCACCCCCUCAUGGUGGAGACAAACUCAAUAUUUGUAUGCUUUAUGCCAAUUUUGUUAAAAUCUUAGUAUUUGGGUAAGCACUGUUAUUACAAACAUCUUGGCUUACAAAAGUCACUGCUUUGGAAAGAGUCGGAGCUCAUCGUCAGAUUGAGGUGUCUGUUGUAUUUGCUGUAUGCACUGGCUUCCUUUCGUGUAACACAAACUCUUGUAGUUUAUCGCAAACUACUUUCACCAGUAUUUAUUAUGACAACUUAAACUAUAUGCAUUAUGUAAGUUUCCAAA